ACAGUUUAUCACACUAUUUGAUGC
rnacentral:siRNA from 1 species